rnacentral:ncRNA from 1 species
CACUUGGUGUUAGAGGAAGAGUUGCUUAUUCGGAAUGGGUACAAUUUAAACCUGUUAACGAGGACCUAUGAGAGGGCAAGCCUGGUGCCAGCAGCCGCGGUAACUCCAGCUCUCAAAGUGUAUAUCGUUAUUGCUGCGGUUAAAAAGCUCGUAGUUGGAAUCCAGCUUGACGAAAUGGUCUAUUUAUUUUUAAUGAAAUUCAAAGUUUUCAGCAAGUAUAGCCUCUCUAAGAAAGAGUGGCCACCAACCUAUAUUAACAAAA